UAACAAUCCAUCGUCUGCAUCUGCCAAAACCCACCCAGAAACUCUAACCACUUCACUGGCAGCAUAGUGAGGAAGUCUGCACGCUCUCCCUCGGGUUUUUGUCCUAUGCCACACUUUCAGAGCAACUGAGCGGAGUCUUGAUAUUUGAUAGUUCUAUCAGAAUCAGAUUCAGACCCAUUGCCCAGCAUGGGACAGAGAAAAAGAGUGA
rnacentral:misc_RNA from 1 species